UACGUAGGGGGCAAGCGUUGUCCGGAUUUAUUGGGCGUAAAGAGCGUGUAGGCGGCCAGGUAGGUCAGCUGUGAAAACUCGAGGCUCAACCUCGAGACGUCGGUUGAAACCGUAAGGCUAGAGUCCGGAAGAGGAGAGUGGAAUUCCCGGUGUAGCGGUGAAAUGCGCAGAUAUCGGGAAGAACACCCGUGGCGAAGGCGGCUCUCUGGGACGGUACUGACGCUGAGACGCGAAAGCGUGGGGAGCGAACAGG
rnacentral:rRNA from 1 species